rnacentral:lncRNA from 8 species
UGAAGUCACUUUCUUAUUCUAUAGGCCUAAGCAUAGACCUAUUUAAUAUUCAAAUGUCUUGCAGUUUUUACGUUUUAUAGUUUUGGAAAGCUGAGUAUUAUAUAAUUAACAUUUUCCUUAUUUUCUAUUAUUCUUGCCAAAAACAAAACCACGAUAGCCUAUUACUCAGAUGAAUCAUUAUUCAUAGUGUAUAUGCAUGUCACGUGAAAGCAACUGACCAACCACAUUUAGUUGUCAGUGUUCUGUAAUUAGUCAAGCGAAACGUGUAUAAUGGCUUAUUUGUCUUCCUCCUUGGUUUGGUUUCACGCGCUGCAAUGCAGUACCUUGUGGAUCUGAGAGGACUAUGUGACUACGGUCUUGGGAGAUAACAUCUCCUCUGUUAAUCGUAGUAUUUAUUAAUCUGCUCACGGCUCUCGCCCAAGCAGGUCUGCUUCAGGAAUAACGGUAACGGUACACAAUUUAAGUCAAACCGAACUCUCUUGGCUCAGAAUCUCUUCAACAAUAUGCAACUCUGUCUACAGCAACUGCAAAUCCAUCACUCACUUUUGGCUGUCAUUUCGGGAGUAGUUACUUUGGUUGCAAAUUCCCUGACAGUAAUAUAUUACAACAGAGUGUAAUGAAAUCAACUUCCCCGGCGUCUCUAUCCUCUAUCUGGAUACUCCAAAGAUAAACCAAUGCAUUUCUUCCUUGUUUUUUUACAUUUAUUUUUUAAGUUCCUACACUGCAGUAAAAAUGCAGUCCAGACUGAAAGAUGUUGGGGAUGUUUUCCAAGGCUACCCAAGAAUCGCUGGAUAUUAUGAUGUACCUACUGUAAUCAGGGCUGGUCCUGGAGAUCCGAGGCAUGAGCGUGUUUUACCUAUCGAGGACUAUCAUCAAUGGAUCUGGGCUAGUAGUUGGAGCAGUCCACUGUAUUAUACCAGAGAAUAGACCAAGUGCUCGCAUUUCUGCAAGUCAUCUCUCACAGAGGGAAAAAAAGAUGAACCAGCCAGAUGUCCGCACUUUAUACAGACGUUGGAGAUAUAAUGGGUGCCCUUCACGAAACUACAGCUCAAGGAACUACGAGAGUUUAUUACCAAAGAGAAAAUACUACGGAUAGCUUCUUCCACCAACCUUCCUGAGAGACAAGUAACAAUAUGGUUUCAAAAUCAUCGUGUCCAUUAUCAUUAUUGUCUCAGCUAUUAGUUCUUUUGGUAAAUAUUUAUAUUCAUGUGUUGUAAUGCCUGCUAACUGAUAGGUUGAGUCACUGUCUAUUGUUUAUAAUAAAUCAGAUAUUUUGAUGUUUCAAUUGUAUUUGCUAAUUAAACGUAUCAAAAGAGGACAUUUCUUUACUAUAUAUGUCAAGAGAUAGUACUGUUUAAAAGUGUGAAUGAAAAAAUACGUUGAUGUAUAAUUGAAUAACAAAUUAACCAUAGCCAUAGGCCUGAACGGGAUUGGUCUUUUUCAAAUGGCACAAAAGGUAGGAUGAACAGGAGUAGGCCUAUAAUAUCUAUUUUCUUCCAAUAUAGUUGUUCAUUUGUUAUCAUGUUGUGGUCUUACUGAGAGAAGCAAUUCAUUUGAAGGU